GCCCGCUUGGCUAAGCGGUAUAGCGUGUCACUAGUAAAAACUUGACAUGACAAGGUGAUCAGUUCGACUCUGAUAGUGGGCA
rnacentral:tRNA from 1 species